ensembl:lncRNA
UUUUAGGUGUUCCCUUUUUUCCUUGUUAAUUGCGUAGAAUGAGGCACAGAGUGAACCUCAGCCAAGACCGGUGCGCUGGAAAACACGUGACAGACAGACAGGGAGAUUUUAUUCUUCAAAGACCAUCAACCAGUCGAUGUACUAGUUGCAUGCCACGUGUGUCCAGAGAGCAGCAUCAAUGUCCACGUGAAGAACCUAGUUAUGUUGCCAGUGUCAACCCAACAAAAGUGUAUGGAACUGAGGUGCUUCGUCAGGAGCUCCUUCAGUUGUUGGAGGAUGGAGAAGAGGACGCAGCCAUGACUUGUGAGACGUCGUCUGAGUCAGCUGCUACUCACUGGGCGAUCAGAAAUAUGGUGUCCUCGCAAAAGUGGAAAGAGGCCAGGCCUUGUCUUAUAGAUAAUAUGUUAGCUACUCUGGAUCCACAGUCACACCGUGUGUGUCAGUGUGGCAAACAAGUAGUUGUGAGGUGUCUGGACUGCCUGCCUCUCCCAUUCCUUUGUGCUGACUGUGAUAUUGCAGUUCACACACGCUUUGUCCUGCACAACAGAGAGG